UCGACCCUCUCUUUCUCUAUGGGGCGUGUGCUGGAUCUGAGAGGUUGGAGCUCUGGAGCAAUACCCUUAUUCCGUUGUUGCCUUAGGUCUUUACACGGGGAACAGGGCGGACCUAGUUCGAAAACUGCAUAAGCCUCGGACGGUGGCGCAGACUUGAGCUCAGCAACCGCUAGAGAAGGAAAGAUGCUGUGAUGAGAACCAGGCAAUGCCAGCCAAUUGGUCCGAUUUCACAGUCUGCGCACACCAGAAACUUGAUGUUGCCCACGUCCUUGGUGAAGCCCACGUUCUCAAAGAUGAACAUGUCAUCGACCAGCCAGUGCUCCUGGAGAAGCUCGCCGUCAGGAUCGCUGCCAUCAGCCAGAGCUGGUUUCUUUCUCAUGGAGGGAAGGAAAAGCUGCAGUGGAAAAGAACACAAAGAAUGCAAGAGCUGACUGGCCAGUCACGUCAUCACCCCCAUUCCACUCACACGUUACACCGCUCCCUAGCACUUUCUCGGAAUGAAAACAAAAUGAGGAGCCCGAUCAUUGACGGAUGAGGAUGCUGGGUGGCUCCUCUGUUGCCUCUAGUCCGUGCCCUGAUUCUUACGAGACGUUAAAGAGGUAACAUGCCGUUUUCAACUGGCUUCGCUGCUAUCCUUACCAUGAUCCAUAAGGCCCUGCCUGUUCCUAAUCUCCCUCCAGCCACACUGGCCUUGCCUUCUUCAAACAGGGUAAGUGUGCUCUGCCCUCAGAUCCUGGCAAGGCCGGUUCCUUCGUGAUAUUCAGCUCAAACGUAACCUCUUCGGGAGGUCUUCUCUAACCAAACAAUCUGAAUUAGCUUCCCAUACUGCCCACUAUGUUUUAUUUUAUACUUUUCAAAGUUUACUUAACUAUUUUGAGAGCGAGAUCGAGUGGGAGAGGGCGGGAGAAGAGAGAGAAUCUCAAGUAGGCUCCACACUGUCAGCAUGGAGACCAAUCGUGGGGCUUGAACUCACGAAGCGUGAGAUGAUGACCUAAGCUGAAACCAAGAGCUGGUCACUUAACCAACGGAACCACCCAAGCGUCCCUAUAUUUUUUUAUAUGGCUUUACUGAGGUAUAGUUGACACAUACACUGCACAAUACUUAAAGUAUACAAUUUGAAACAUUUUGGCCCAGACAUCUACCCAUAAAUCAUUACCAGCAAGACACCAAGCAUAUUCAUCACCCCCAAAGUCUCCUUAUGCCACUACCUCUUUAUUUUCUACUUACCAUUCUCUGAACUUAAUGUAUUGGCUUAUUUACCGUGGGUCUCCCUCCACUAAAAUGUAAGCCCCAGGAAAGGAAGGAGCUUACCUUUCCUGUUCACUACUCUAUCCCCAGUGCCUAGAGUAAUAACUGGCAUAGAGCAGGAACUCAAAUAUUUUCAAAAGAAUAAAUACAGGAUACCUGGCUUUGCUCUAUUCCAUCACUGUAAGGUAUGUGCUGGAUUUAUCUUACAAAAGAACAUUAACAAGGAAAAUCUAGUUCUAGAAUUCGGAAUAGCAUCCCAAGGAUCCCUGUACCCACAAAUCAACAUGCCUUCCCAAUCACUACGAGAAAGCCUCUGGCACAUGCGCGUGUAAGUACACACACACACACACACACCCUUUAAUUUCUUCCAUAUGGUUAGUUCACACACCUUUAGCAGCCCCACAGUACUGCAAGAUACAUACAGCAAAGCUUGUUACUCCUCUGCUCUCAUCGUCAUGGCUACUGCCAAUACACUUAUUUUCCACCCUAUGAAGCACUUUUCAGUUCUUACUUUAUUAUGACUAUGAAAAUAUUUGCUACAAAGCCAAGUAGUAGUCUAUGGCUGUUUCUUUCUCGUAAGUUUUUUCUUCAUAGGUAACAAUUUACUUUUUUUUCCCCUCUGGCAUUAACUUUCAACGUACCUACUAUCAUUUUUUUUUUUUUUUAAUUUAAAUCCAAGUUUGUUAACAUAUAGUGUAUUAAUGGUUUCAGGAAUAGAAUCUAGUGAUUUAUCACUUAUACAUAAAACCAAGUGCUCAUCCCAACAAGUGCAUUCCUUAAUGCCCAUUGUCCAUUUAGCCCAUCCCCCCCCCACACCCCACCAGCAACCCUCAGUUGUUCUCUGUAUUUAAGAGUCUCUUAUGGUUUGUCUCCCUGUUUUUAUCUUUUCACUUCCCUUCCCCCGUGUUCAUCUGUUUUGUUUCUUGAAUUCCACACAUGUGUGAAAUCAUAUGAUAUUUGUCUUUCUCUGACUGACUUAUCUCGCUUAGCAUAAUGCAUUCUAGUUCCAUCUACAUUGUUGCAAAUGGCAAGAUUUCAUUCUUUUUGAUUGCUGAGUAAUAUUCCACACACACACACACACACACACACACACACACACACACCCCACAUCUUCUUUAUCCAUUUGUCAGUCAAUUGACAUCUGGGAUCUUUCCAUAAUUUGGCUAUUGUGAUAGUGCUGCUAUAAACAUUGGGGUGCAAGUGCCCCUUUGAAUCAGCAUUUUUGUAUCCUUGGAAUAAAUGCCUAGUAGUGCAA